GAUGAACGCUGGCGGCGUGCCUAAUACAUGCAAGUCGAGCGAACGGACGAGAAGCUUGCUUUUCUGAUGUUAGCGGCGGACGGGUGAGUAACACGUGGAUAACCUACCUAUAAGACUGGGAUAACUUCGGGAAACCGGAGCUAAUACCGGAUAAUAUUUUGAACCGCAUGGUUCAAAAGUGAAAGACGGUCUUGCUGUCACUUAUAGAUGGAUCCGCGCUGCAUUAGCUAGUUGGUAAGGUAACGGCUUACCAAGGCAACGAUGCAUAGCCGACCUGAGAGGGGGAUCGGCCACACGGAAACGGAGACCCGGCCCAGCCCCCAAGGGGGGGCAGCAGUAGGGAAUGUUCCGCAAGGGGCGAAAGCCUGAGGGAGCAACGCCGCGGGAGGGAGGAAGGUUUUGGGAUAGUAAAACUCUUUUUUUAGGGAAAAAAAUAUGUUAAAGUAAUUGGGCACAUUUUGACGGUACCAAACAAGAAACCCCCGGCUACCUACG
rnacentral:rRNA from 1 species